rnacentral:rRNA from 1 species
AUUGAACGCUGGCGGCAGGCCUAACACAUGCAAGUCGAACGAGUGGCGGACGGGUGAGUAAUGUCUGGGAAACUGCCUGAUGGAGGGGGAUAACUACUGGAAACGGUAGCUAAUACCGCAUACCAUCAGAUGUGCCCAGAUGGGAUUAGCUAUUUGGUGGGGUAACGGCUCACCAAGGCGACGAUCCCUAGCUGGUCUGAGAGGAUGACCAGCCACACUGGAACUGGGACACGGUACAUACUCCUACGGUAGGCGGCAGUGGGGAAUAUUGCACAAUGGGCGGAAGCCUGCUGCAGCCAUGCCGCGUGUAUGAAGACGGCCUUCGGGUUGUAAAGUACUUUCAGCGGGUAGGCGUUACCCGCAGUAGAAGCACCGGCUAACUCCGUGCCAGCAGCCGCGGUAAUUC